rnacentral:rRNA from 1 species
AGCGGCGGAUGGGUGAGUAACACGUGGGGAACCUGCCCCUAAGUCUGGGAUACCAUUUGGAAACAGGUGCUAAUACCGGGUAAUAAAGCAGAUCGCAUGAUCAGCUUUUGAAAGGCGGCGUAAGCUGUCGCUAAGGGAUGGCCCCGCGGUGCAUUAGCUAGUUGGUAAGGUAACGGCUUACCAAGGCGACGAUGCAUAGCCGAGUUGAGAGACUGAUCGGCCACAUUGGGACUGAGACACGGCCCAAACUCCUACGGGAGGCAGCAGUAGGGAAUCUUCCACAAUGGACGCAAGCCUGAUGGAGCAACGCCGCGUGAGUGAAGAAGGUUUUCGGAUCGUAAAGCUCUGUUGUUGGUGAAGAAGGAUAGAGGUAGUAACUGGCCUUUAUUUGACGGUAAUCAACCAUAAAGUCACGGCUAACUACGUGCCAGCAGCCGCGGUAAUACGUGGGUGGCAAGCGUUGUCCGGAUUUAUUGGGCGUAAAGCGAGCGCAGGCGGAAAAAUAAGUCUAAUGUGAAAGCCCUCGGCUUAACCGAGGAACUGCAUCGGAAACUGUUUUUCUUGAGUGCAGAAGAGGAGAGUGGAACUCCAUGUGUAGCGGUGGAAUGCGUAGAUAUAUGGAAGAACACCAGUGGCGAAGGCGGCUCUCUGGUCUGCAACUGACGCUGAGGCUCGAAAGCAUGGGUAGCGAACAGGAUUAGAUACCCUGGUGGUCCAUGCCGUAAACGAUGAGUGCUAAGUGU